CUUUAAAUGUGGAUGUAGGGUCUGAAAAACUCAUAUAGUUAAGUGCUGUCAUCAGCUUCUUCACUUGUACCAAACAUGUUUGGAGUCAAAUAAAAGCACUACAUUU
rnacentral:snoRNA from 1 species